rnacentral:hammerhead_ribozyme from 1 species
AUCCAGAUGACGAACCAGUCCCAAAUAAGACGAAAUGCGCAUCCUGGAU